UACAGAGGGUGCAAGCGUUAAUCGGAAUUACUGGGCGUAAAGGGAGCGUAGGUGGCUCUAUAAGUCAGAUGUGAAAUCCCCGGGCUUAACCUGGGAACUGCAUCUGAAACUGUAGAGCUAGAGUAUGUGAGAGGAAGGUAGAAUUCCAGGUGUAGCGGUGAAAUGCGUAGAGAUCUGGAGGAAUACCGAUGGCGAAGGCAGCCUUCUGGCAUAAUACUGACACUGAGGCUCGAAAGCGUGGGUAGCAAACAGG
rnacentral:rRNA from 4 species